AGAAUAUUGGGUAUCUCCAACGAUGAGGUUGAAGAAAAUGAACAGACAAAUAAAGGAUUUGGAGACAUAUAGUUGAUGAAUUUAAUUCUUAGAAACUUAAUAAUGUCUAAUUCACAUACACUUAUUUCAUUCAGUGGAUUAUACUUAUAUUUUCCAAACUGAAAUAUACGAUGCACCACAUACAAGCAACUAGGAAGUCGAUCAAAUAUCCUGACAAUUUUUCAGACGUUGACUUUUAUGAAAAUAAUUCUACCUACUUAGAUGAAGCCAUACAAUAUUGGAGCGAAUUAUGAAACUUAAGGGCAAUACAAUUUUGCUGAGCAAGAACCCAAUUUAAAUAACACAGAUGAGGGCCUCAACAUAUCUAAAUUGCAAAGAAACACGUAACUAGUUUGGACUUCAGUAUCUUUUCUGAAAUAAAA